UACGUAGGGCGUGAGCGUUACUCGGAAUUACUGGGCGUAAAGUGUGCGCAGGCGGCCGAGCAAGUCGAGUGUGAAAGCCCCGGGCUUAACUUGGGAAUUGCGCUCGAAACUACUUUGCUGGAGUGUGGCAGAGGAAGGUGGAAUUCCACGUGUAGCGGUGAAAUGCGUAGAGAUGUGGAGGAACACCAAUGGCGAAGGCAGCCUUCUGGGCCAACACUGACGCUCAUGCACGAAAGCGUGGGGAGCAAACAGG
rnacentral:rRNA from 1 species